rnacentral:tRNA from 1 species
GGUGCGGUACCCAAGUGGCCUAAGGGGGAAGUCUGCAAAACUUCUAUUCGCCGGUUCAAAUCCGGCCCGCACCU